CUCAAAGCUGACCGGUACAACCCGCGUGCUUGCCUACUCGUCCCGGCCUAUUUGUACCCAGCUACAAUCUCUUCCCUUAUAAAAGAAAAAAGGGCCCCUCGGCCAAUCGUCACUCGACAGCUCGAAAGCGGAUCAGUAAAAAACCAUGUGAUCUGGUUAUAAAAGAAAAAAGGCCCUCUCGGCCAAUCGUCACUUGACUGCUUGAAAGCGGAUCAGUAAAAAACCACAUGAUCUGUACUUGUUUACGUACUGCCCUUAGGCCUAGGGCUUCGUCAUACCCUGCUUACUCCUCUUUCACUUUCACU
rnacentral:lncRNA from 1 species